AGAUUAAACUGAAGAGUUUGAUCCUGGCUCAGAUUGAACGCUGGCGGCAUGCCUUACACAUGCAAGUCGAACGGCAGCACGGAGCUUGCUCUGGUGGCGAGUGGCGAACGGGUGAGUAAUAUAUCGGAACGUACCCUAGAGUGGGGGAUAACGUAGCGAAAGUUACGCUAAUACCGCAUACGAUCUAAGGAUGAAAGUGGGGGAUCGCAAGACCUCAUGCUCGUGGAGCGGCCGAUAUCUGAUUAGCUAGUUGGUAGGGUAAAAGCCUACCAAGGCAUCGAUCAGUAGCUGGUCUGAGAGGACGACCAGCCACACUGGAACUGAGACACGGUCCAGACUCCUACGGGAGGCAGCAGUGGGGAAUUUUGGACAAUGGGCGAAAGCCUGAUCCAGCAAUGCCGCGUGAGUGAAGAAGGCCUUCGGGUUGUAAAGCUCUUUUGUCAGGGAAGAAACGGUGAGAGCUAAUAUCUCUUGCUAAUGACGGUACCUGAAGAAUAAGCACCGGCUAACUACGUGCCAGCAGCCGCGGUAAUACGUAGGGUGCAAGCGUUAAUCGGAAUUACUGGGCGUAAAGCGUGCGCAGGCGGUUUUGUAAGUCUGAUGUGAAAUCCCCGGGCUCAACCUGGGAAUUGCAUUGGAGACUGCAAGGCUAGAAUCUGGCAGAGGGGGGUAGAAUUCCACGUGUAGCAGUGAAAUGCGUAGAUAUGUGGAGGAACACCGAUGGCGAAGGCAGCCCCCUGGGUCAAGAUUGACGCUCAUGCACGAAAGCGUGGGGAGCAAACAGGAUUAGAUACCCUGGUAGUCCACGCCCUAAACGAUGUCUACUAGUUGUCGGGUCUUAAUUGACUUGGUAACGCAGCUAACGCGUGAAGUAGACCGCCUGGGGAGUACGGUCGCAAGAUUAAAACUCAAAGGAAUUGACGGGGACCCGCACAAGCGGUGGAUGAUGUGGAUUAAUUCGAUGCAACGCGAAAAACCUUACCUACCCUUGACAUGGCUGGAAUCC
rnacentral:rRNA from 1 species